rnacentral:tRNA from 2 species
AGGGCUAUAGCUCAGUGGUAGAGCACCUCGUUUACACCGAGAAAGUCUACGGUUCGAAUCCGUAUAGCCCUA